CACUUCAUUAUCCACAUUUUAAUUUGUGAGAAUCAGAUAGGGAUGGGAGAAGGAACAGCAUCUUAAAUUGGAAAAGGGGUUUGGCUUUUCACAGUGAUAUGAGCGGGGAUUUUGCCAUGUGCUGAAAAAGAAUCAUGGAUGAUGGAGGUCAGGGUAGGGUUACUCAUAUGAUGGGAGUAUGAUGGAGGUCAGGGUUAGAGUUACUCGGGUGACAUGGGAGUAUGAUGGAGGUCAGGGUUAGAGUUACUCGGGUGACAUGGGAGUAUGAUGGAGGUCAGGGUAGGGUUACUCGGGUGACAUGGGAGUAUGGUGGAGGUCAUGGUUAGGGUUACUCGGGUGACGUGGGAGUAUGAUGGAGGUCAGGGUAGGGUUACUCGGGUGACGUGGGAGUAUGAUGGAGGUCAGGGUUAGGGUUACUUGGGUGACAUGGGAGUAUGAUGGAGGUCAGGGUAGGGUUACUCGGGUGACAUGGGAGUAUGAUGAAGGUCAGGGUUAGUGUUACUCGGGUGACAUAGGAGUAUGAUGGAGGUCAGGGUAGGGUUACUCGGGUGACAUGGGAGUAUGGUGGAGGUCAUGGUUAGGGUUACUCGGGUGACGUGGGAGUAUGAUGGAGGUCAGGGUAGGGUUACUCGGGUGACGUGGGAGUAUGAUGGAGGUCAGGGUUAGAGUUACUCGGGUGACAUGGGAGUAUGAUGGAGGUCAGGGUUAGAGUUACUCGGGUGACAUGGGAGUAGGAUGGAGGUCAGGGUAGGGUUACUCGGGUGACAUGGGAGUAUGAUGAAGGUCAGGGUUAGUGUUACUCGGGUGACAUAGGAGUAUGAUGGAGGUCAGGGUAGGGUUACUCAGGUGACUGAGAAGCAUGCUGUUCCUGACUCACCCAUUCAUGUG